rnacentral:rRNA from 1 species
UACAUACUGUGCGAACGUUAUUCGGAUUCACUGGGCUUAAAGGGUGCGUAGGCGGCUUGUUAAGUAGGGUGUGAAAGCCCCCAGCUCAACUGGGGAACUGCACUCUAUACUGGCGAGCUGGAGUGAGAUAGGGGUGUGUGGAACUGCCAGUGGAGCGGUGAAAUGUGUUGAUAUUGGCAGGAACGCCGGUGGCGAAAGCGACACACUGGGUCUCAACUGACGCUGUGGCACGAAAGCCAGGGGAGCGAACGGG